GUGGCUCAGUGGUAGAGUGCUUGCCUCGCAUGCAUGAGGUCCUGGGUUCGAUUCCUCAGC
rfam:Dipodomys ordii contig_11681, whole genome shotgun sequence.